CACGGGGGGAGCAAGCGUUGUUCGGAAUCACUGGGCGUAAAGGGCGUGUAGGCGGUCCGUCACGGUCGGGUGUGAAAUUCCAGGGCUCAACCCUGGACCUGCAUUCGAUACGGGCGGACUAGAGUUCGGUAGGGGAGACUGGAAUUCCUGGUGUAGCGGUGAAAAUGCGCAGAUAUCAGGAGGAACACCGGUGGCGAAGGCGGGUCUCUGGGCCGAUACGCGCUGGAGGAGCGAAAGCUGGGGAGCGAACAGG
rnacentral:rRNA from 1 species